rnacentral:lncRNA from 1 species
UUGUAUCUUGAUUAAGGGAUACUGCAGGCGGGAAACCUUGAUGAAGCGUGGCGUUUCUUCGAUGAAAUUUCGCAUGUGGGUGUCAAACGGUCGACCGUGUCAUACACCACGAUGAUGCAUGGGCUAAUACGCCAAAGUAGUUUUUCAGACGGGUUGAAGCUUUUCCAUGAUAUGGAAGCUCAGAAUCUAGAUCCAAAUCUCUACACCUACAACAUCUUGUUGGAUGGCUUGUGUCGGAUACGUCGGAUCGAUGAGGCGUUUGCGGUUUUGACGGUGAUGGAGGCGAGAGGCGUGAGACCUGAUAUUGUAUCGUAUGGUGUUCUGAUCAACAGCUUAUGCAAGGGCGGAAGACUUGAUGAUGCUACGAGGCUCUUCAACCAUCUCCCUUCCAAGGGCUUGAAACCNAGUAUGCGGCAAGAGCCUUCUGUUCUCCUGUAUAACAAACUCAUGAGUGUUAGUGUAACGAUUGAGCAGUAUUAUGUUGCCCUUUAUGUGUUCGAUGAAAUGCUUAGGAUGGGUGUCCCGGUUAAUGAUUGACACAAGGAAUAUUGCUGUCAACUGUUGUUGUCUCUUGAAGAUAUAUACUCUAGCUUUUUCUAUAAUGGGAUUCUUUCUCAAGAGAGGUCACGAACCAGAUGUCGUGACUUUCGGCACUCUCAUAAAAGGGUUGUUCUUAGUUAAUAAGGAGGCUGAAGCCAUGAAAUUGUUCGAAAAGAUUGUGGAUUUAGAACUUUGUGAGCCCAGUGAUGUUAUGAUUCUGCAUGUGAUUGAUGGGAUGUGCAAAGCUGGACAGGUCAUUGAAGCCCAUGAUUGGCUUCAUAGAUUAGAAAGUAGUGGGUGGAGUCCCAACGUUAAGGUUUAUAGUGCACUAAUUGAUGGAUUUUGCAAAGGCGGAAUGGUGGACAAUGCCUUCAAGGUUCUAUCCAAAAUGGUUGGGAAUGGUAUUUUACCUGACGUUGUCACUUAUAGUUCCAUUAUUAAUGCAUACUGUAAGGAAGAAAAGAUGGAAGAGGCUGAGAAUAUGCUGGAAAUUAUGAUGCAACAACAUAUUUGUUCCGAUGUCUUCGCUUAUUGAAGGGCUCUGCCUGAAGGGUGAAAUUGGAAGAGCGAAACAGUUACUUGAUUCCAUGGUAGAGAGGGGCCUUAAACCCGAUAUUGUUAACUAUAACACCUUGCUAAAUGGAUAUUGCAAGAAGGGAAGCGUGGAUGAAGCUUGGCUUAUUUUUCUUGAAAUUUCCGAUAAAGGUCUCGAGCAUAAUGUGCAAACUUAUAGUACAUUAUUGGAUGGGUUGUUGAAGCGUGGGAUGGUUGAUGAAGCUCUGCUUCUGCUGUCCGAGAUGGUGGAGAAGGGUAUCUCGCCUAAUGUUGUCACAUGCAGCACAUUGAUCGAUGGAUAUUGCUCGCUUGGCGAGAUGGUUAGAGCUAGAGAGCUCUUCAAUUCUAUGGCAAAGACGGGGAUCAAGCACAAUAUAUUCACCUACGAUAUCUUGAUUAAGGGAUACUGCAAGGCAGGAAACCUUGAUGAAGCGUGGCGUUUCUUCGAUGAAAUCUCGCGUGUAGGUCUCAAACACUCGACCGUGUCAUACAACACGAUGAUGCACGGGCUAAUACGCCAAAGUAGUUUUUCAGACGGGUUGAAGCUUUUCCACGAUAUGGAAGCUCAGAAUCUACAUCCGAAUCUCUACACCUACAACAUCUUGUUGGAUGGCUUGUGUCGGAUACGUCGGAUUGAUGAGGCGUUUGCGGUUUUGACGGUGAUGGAGGCGAGAGGCGUGAAACCUGAUAUCGUAUCGUAUGGUGUUCUGAUCAACAGCUUAUGCAAGGGCGGAAGACUUGAUGAUGCUACGAGGCUCUUCAACCAUCUCCCUUCCAAGGGCUUGAAACCUAGCGUACAAAUCUACAACAUGAUGCUCGACUCCCUCUACCAUGAAGGGCGCGAAGGGGAGGCGAGGAUGUUGAUGGAUGGAGAUGGAGAGGAGCGGCUGCGCGCCUAAUUUCGUGACGUUCAAUAUUAUUGUGUGGAAUCUGGUGAAGAGCAAAAGGUUCCAUGAGGCAAUUCCUUUCUUGGAGG